UAUCAAAACCGGACCCGAACUCACCCCUAUGACUCAUAAUGAUAAUAAAUGCAAUAAUAUUUUUUUUUGACAAAAUCUACAAAUGUCAAAUAAAUGCAAUAAGUUAUUUUGACAAAAUCUACAAAUUUAGCACAAAAUAUAUGGAAAUUAAUUAAUAGUAAGACUUUCCCAGAGACCAAAAAAUAUAUAUAUAGAGAGAGAGAGACCUCUCUCCACCCAUUGAAUUAAGAACAUUUUAUUUGUCAACGGAUCUCUCAUAAAAAAAAUAGUAUGGGUAUUAACAAAACUCUGAUAAAAUGUUUGUUCAUUGUGAUAUUAGCAGUUUCGAUGUUCAAUCACAAAGUUUUGACUUCAGGUGCAGAGAUCCAAAAAUUCUCAUAUGACCACUGUAAUACUUUGUGUUCGGAAACAUAUGGAUGGUUUGAGUGUCAACAUGACUGUUUUAGAGCUGGUUACACAGAUUUUGGAAGCUGUGCUUCCCGUUCUCCUAAAGAGCCUGAGCGAUGUUGUUGCCAAAACAAAUAGACUCAUCUUUUCUCUGAAAAUGGUGAUUUAACCUUUAAAAUCCUUAAACUAUUGCACUUGGUUUGUCUGUUGCAAUAAAUGGGACAAUAAAAAAAUAUGUUACAAUUA